rnacentral:sRNA from 1 species
CUGUACGGGAAGGAUGAGAAGCUUCUACCAGGGUUCGAUUCGAGCGCAGCGAGAAAGCGUUGCCGCAGGCAACGACCCGAAGGGCGAAGCGCGCAGCGCUGAGUCAUCCUUCCCCCACCACCA